rnacentral:lncRNA from 1 species
UGACGCGCUCAGGAGACGGAGAUGUUUGGAGGAAACGCCGAAGGUCUGCAGACACCCGGAAGGAGCGUCAUCAAGAUUCCGGGUCUGCAGAUGAGCCUGAAGAAGAGCAAAGAAAAAACUGAAAAGUGCAAAAGUAUUCAGCACGUAAAUACUUUUUGUAAUCCCUUUUGGUUCAAUUCCAGCUGCCAGUCUUUAGUUCUAGAUCUUUCCCAGCUUUACACAUCUGAAAUGUAUAGAUUUGAAGCUUACAUUGAUAUUUCACAUCACUU